UUGAACGCUGGCGGCAUGCCUUACACAUGCAAGUCGAACGGCAGCGCGGGAGCAAUCCUGGCGGCGAGUGGCGAACGGGUGAGUAAUACAUCGGAACGUGCCCAAUCGUGGGGGAUAACGCAGCGAAAGCUGUGCUAAUACCGCAUACGAUCUACGGAUGAAAGCAGGGGAUCGCAAGACCUUGCGCGAAUGGAGCGGCCGAUGGCAGAUUAGGUAGUUGGUGAGGUAAAGGCUCACCAAGCCUUCGAUCUGUAGCUGGUCUGAGAGGACGACCAGCCACACUGGGACUGAGACACGGCCCAGACUCCUACGGGAGGCAGCAGUGGGGAAUUUUGGACAAUGGGCGAAAGCCUGAUCCAGCCAUGCCGCGUGCAGGAUGAAGGCCUUCGGGUUGUAAACUGCUUUUGUACGGAACGAAACGGUCUUUUCUAAUACAGAAGGCUAAUGACGGUACCGUAAGAAUAAGACCGACUA
rnacentral:rRNA from 1 species